rnacentral:rRNA from 1 species
AUUGAACGCUGGCGGCAGGCCUAACACAUGCAAGUCGAACGAGUGGCGGACGGGUUAGUAAUGUCUGGGACUCUGCCUGGUGGAGGGGGAUAACUACUGGAAACGGUAGCUAAUACCGCACUCCUUCGGCUGUGCCCAGAUGGGAUUAGCUAGUAGGUGGGGUAAAGGCUCACCUAGGCGACGAUCUCUAGCUGGUCUGAGAGGAUGACCAGCCAAACUGGAACUGAGACACGGUCCAGACUCCUACGGGAGGCAGCAGUGGGGAAUAUUGGACAAUGGGCGCAAGCCUGAUGCAGCCAUGCCGCGUGUAUGAAGAAGGCCUUCGGGUUGUAAAGUACUUUAAGCGGGGAGGCGUUACCCGCAGAAGAAGCACCGGCUAACUCCGUGCCAGCAGCCGCGGUAAUUC